rnacentral:tRNA from 1 species
GGGUGUAUAGCUCAGUGGUAGAGCGCAUGCCUAGCAUGAUGCAUGAGGUCCUGGGUUCAAUCCCUAGUACCUCCA